GUAAAGGCUGGGAAGAGGAGUAGUAACAGAGGUACAUCCUUGAGAGAGCCGGUGGGUGGUGCGAACCGGUGGAUGGAAACUGUGAACUCGCCUUGGAGCCGCUCCGGUGAACCGCCAGUAGUCGGAGACGAGUUAUCCACGUAACGGAUCAAUUAAGGUUUGCAGCUCGCUGCAAACGAAGUAGGGUGGUACCACGAAAGCUACGCGCCUUCGUCCCUGCA
rnacentral:ncRNA from 1 species